GGGCACUGUAGAAGAAUCUCUAGAAUGUCUAUCUACGAGGGUAGGCCGUGAAACUCUUCCGGAUCUCUUAGCAACGGCUCGCUUGGGUCCCAUUUUCACCAAAUGCUUCCUUAGGUCUUGAUCCAACGGCUUGGGGAAGCAAUCUUCUACUAUUUGAAGAUGAUUGGAAGAGAUUGGAGAGUGGAAAAUAGGGUUUUAGGAAGAGGACAAGAUGAAACAGUGCCCUAGAAUAGCUUAUGGGUCCCCCUUUUAAAAGUGGGGUCCCGUCGUUGGGUCGACCCCAGUUUCUGCUAGGGUCGACUCAACGUGGGGUCGACUCCAU
rnacentral:lncRNA from 1 species